UACGUAGGGUGCGAGCGUUAAUCGGAAUUACUGGGCGUAAAGCGUGCGCAGGCGGUUCGUUGUGUCCGAUGUGAAAGCCCCGGGCUUAACCUGGGGAUGGCAUUGGAAACUGGCGAGCUUGAGUGCGGCAGAGGGGGGUGGAAUUCCGCGUGUAGCAGUGAAAUGCGUAGAGAUGCGGAGGAACACCGAUGGCGAAGGCAGCCCCCUGGGUCGACACUGACGCUCAGGCACGAAAGCGUGGGGAGCAAACAGG
rnacentral:rRNA from 1 species